UUUUUAGAGUUUGAUUCCCGCUCAGGACGAACGCUGGCGGCGUGCCUAAUACAUGCAAGUCGAACGCUUUUUCUUUCACCGGAGCUUGCUCCACCGAAAGAAAAAGAGUGGCGAACGGGUGAGUAACACGUGGGUAACCUGCCCAUCAGAAGGGGAUAACACUUGGAAACAGGUGCUAAUACCGUAUAACACUAUUUUCCGCAUGGAAGAAAGUUGAAAGGCGCUUUUGCGUCACUGAUGGAUGGACCCGCGGUGCAUUAGCUAGUUGGUGAGGUAACGGCUCACCAAGGCAACGAUGCAUAGCCGACCUGAGAGGGUGAUCGGCCACACUGGGACUGAGACACGGCCCAGACUCCUACGGGAGGCAGCAGUAGGGAAUCUUCGGCAAUGGACGAAAGUCUGACCGAGCAACGCCGCGUGAGUGAAGAAGGUUUUCGGAUCGUAAAACUCUGUUGUUAGAGAAGAACAAGGAUGAGAGUAGAACGUUCAUCCCUUGACGGUAUCUAACCAGAAAGCCACGGCUAACUACGUGCCAGCAGCCGCGGUAAUACGUAGGUGGCAAGCGUUGUCCGGAUUUAUUGGGCGUAAAGCGAGCGCAGGCGGUUUCUUAAGUCUGAUGUGAAAGCCCCCGGCUCAACCGGGGAGGGUCAUUGGAAACUGGGAGACUUGAGUGCAGAAGAGGAGAGG
rnacentral:rRNA from 1 species